UUCACAGGUGGUACAGAAAGCAGGAAACGCUGGAAAGAGACGCAUACUGAAGGCGGUGUGGGUACUUUGAAAAAGUACAUAAACCCAGAAGAUGCCCGGCCCCCUACCGGUACAGCCGCAUCUUUCUUAUCGCACCGUUUGACAUGCAAGAGGAAAGAAGGUUCGUUUUCUUUCUUUUUUUUUUUGCGGACACCCGAAAACUGCGGUUGGCAACACUUACGUGCUCAAACAUUGCUCAGAAGGGCGUAUUCCGAUUGCGGCUUCACAUUUUGGCUGCAGUGGCAGCCUCUCGCUAAAUCGUUCUCAUGGUUUACUUCAGGGCUCUUGUUGACUAGGUUAUCGGUACGAUCUCCCUAUCUCCGGCCGAUGUGCUGCAUUUGACAUAAACGCCCAGUACGUGCGAGCUCUGGAGACACAAGACUGAUUUUACUUGACGCUUUUGCGUUGGCUUCACCCGAUGGUGGAAAGUACCGCGCAUCGAUCCAAAAAGGUUGGAAACACGCGGCUCUACUACGGCGUGAGGAACGAUGCAAACACACAGCUGACAAGCCUGAGCAGAAGCGGAUGUCCUUGAGCGCAUCGACGAAGCCUCGGAGGAGACGACUUCCCGUUGGCCUUGUCACUUCCCUUGCUCCUCUGGGACGACGUGCUCGUGGUCACGAGGCAGCUGGAGCCGUCCGAGCCUGAUGCCGC